rnacentral:rRNA from 1 species
GAUGAACGCUAGCUACAGGCUUAACACAUGCAAGUCGAAGGGCCGACGCGCGAGUGAGUAACGCGUAUCCAGCCUUCCCUUUACGCAUAAAUAGCCUUUCGGAAGAAAGAUUAAUACCCGAUAUGGAGGAGGGGGAUGCGUUCCAUUAGGUUGUUGGUGAGGUAACGGCCCACCACGCCUUCGGUGGAUAGGGGUUCUGAGAGGAAGGUACCCUACAUUUGAACUGAGACAUGGUCCACACUCAUACGGGAGGCAGCAGUGUGGAAGAUUGUUCAAUGGGCGUUAGACUGAACCAGCCAAGCAGCGUGAAGGAUGAAGGCUUUUGGGUCGUAAACUUCUUUUAUAUAAGAAUAUGUAUUAUAUGAAUAAGGAUCGGCUAACUCCGUGCCAGCAGCCGCGGUAAUUC